AGAAUCAACGCUGGCGGCGUGCCUAACACAUGCAAGUCGAACGAGAAAGUGGAGCAAUCCAUGAGUAAAGUGGCGCACGGGUGAGUAACACGUGACUAACCUACCCUCGAGUGGGGAAUAACCUCGGGAAACCGGGCUAACACCGCAUAACAUCUACGGAUCAAAUGCGUAAGCAGCUUGAGGAGGGGUCGCGGCUGAUUAGCUAGUUGGCGGGGUAAUGGCCCACCAAGGCAGUGAUCAGUA
rnacentral:rRNA from 1 species